UGAAUUACAGAUGGCGUCUUCAAAUUAAAAAUAAAAGCCUCAUCACAGUAACUACCCGUCAUUAAAGAUUACAAUCUCAUUGGAAAGUAAAAAAAGAGCCAGGUGAUACGGAUAGACAUCAAUACAUCUCCCUUUUUGAUUGAAGACAGACUUGGGUGUUUCGUUAGAUAGUUCAUCGUGAUUUCCAAGCCAAUGACUUUUUGACUGUUAUAGCAACUAACAGGUUAUUAAUGUAACUUUGGCUUAUAUAUAAAAUCAUAUCCAAUGGCUCACCAACUAAGGAUGGAUGCUAUUAUACAAAGCAUUUGCAUAGUCUUCAAAUAAAUAUAAAUUGAAGGGUUGAAAGGUCAGCUGAUGAUGAAAAAAAGAUACCUUGAUUUUCUAAAACUCAACUUCAAUCGAUAUAACAUUCUUAUGUUUCGAUUAAGCCAGUUUAGAUGGUGGUAAAGACAUAGCAUGCCAUCAUAAUCGAGAGCUUUUAAGCUCGGAGUCUUAAUGAACACAUAACUUAUUGUUAUUAAUGAAACAUAUUCAUUAUUCAAUAU